UACAGAGGUCCCAAGCGUUGUUCGGAUUCAUUGGGCGUAAAGGGUGCGUAGGCGGCGCGGUAAGUCGGGUGUGAAGUUUCGGAGCUUAACUCCGAAACUGCAUUCGAUACUGCGGUGCUUGAGGACUGGAGAGGAGACUGGAAUUUACGGUGUAGCAGUGAAAUGCGUAGAGAUCGUAAGGAAGACCAGUGGCGAAGGCGGGUCUCUGGACAGUUCCUGACACUGAGGCACGAAGGCCAGGGGAGCAAACGGG
rnacentral:rRNA from 1 species